rnacentral:rRNA from 1 species
CUUUCAACAAUGGAUCUCUUGGUUCUCGCAUCGAUGAAGAACGCAGCGAAAUGCGAUAAGUAAUGUGAAUUGCAGAAUUCCGUGAAUCAUCAAAUUUUUGAACGCAAAUUGCACUCCUUGGUAUUCCGAGGAGUACACCUGCUUGAGGG